rnacentral:rRNA from 1 species
GACCAGACUCCUACGGGAGGCAGCAGUGGGGGAUAUUGCACAAUGGGGGGAACCCUGAUGCAGCGACGCCGCGUGGGUGAAGGAGCGUUUCGGCGCGUAAAGCCCUAUCGGCAGGGAAGAAGGAGGACGGUACCUGACUAAGAAGCCCCGGCUAACUACGUGCCAGCAGCCGCGGGAAUACGUAGGGGGCAAGCGUUAUCCGGAAUUACUGGGUGUAAAGGGUGUGUAGGCGGGGCUGCAAGUCAGAUGUGAAAUCCCAAGGCUCAACCUUGGAACUGCAUUUGAAACUGUUGGUCUUGAGUAUCGGAGAGGCAGGCGGAAUUCCUAGUGUAGCGGUGAAAUGCGUAGAUAUUAGGAGGAACACCAGUGGCGAAGGCGGCCUGCUGGACGACAACUGACGGUGAGGCGCGAAAGCGUGGGGAGCAAACAGGAUUAGAUACCCCCGUA